UACCAGCACCCCGAGUGGUCGGGACGUUUUAUUGGGCCUAAAGCAUCCGUAGCCGGUUCUACAAGUCUUCCGUUAAAUCCACCUGCUUAACAGGUGGGCUGCGGAAGAUACUAUGGAGCUAGGAGGCGGGAGAGGCAAGCGGUACUCGAUGGGUAGGGGUAAAAUCCGUUGAUCCAUUGAAGACCACCAGUGGCGAAGGCGGCUUGCCAGAACGUGCUCGACGGUGAGGGAUGAAAGCUGGGGGGAGCAAACAGG
rnacentral:rRNA from 1 species